rnacentral:rRNA from 1 species
UCCUACGGGGGGCAGCAGUGAGGAAUAUUGGUCAAUGGCCGGUAGGCUGAACCAGCCAAGCCGCGUGAGGGAGGAAGGCGCAGAGCGUCGCAGACCUCUUUUGCCGGGGGACAAAAGGCCGGACUCGUCCGGUCCUGAGGGUACCCGGAGAAAAAGCAUCGGCUAACUCCGUGCCAGCAGCCGCGGUAAUACGGAGGAUGCGAGCGUUAUCCGGAUUUAUUGGGUUUAAAGGGUGCGUAGGCGGGCUUUUAAGUCAGCGGUAAAAAUUCGGGGCUCAACCCCGUCCGGCCGUUGAAACUGGGGGC